rnacentral:rRNA from 1 species
UACAGAGGGUGCGAGCGUUAAUCGGAAUUACUGGGCGUAAAGCGCGCGUAGGCGGCUUUGCAAGUCGGGUGUGAAAUCCCCAGGCUUAAUCUGGGAACUGCAUUCGAGACUGCAUUGCUAGAGUAUGGGAGAGGGAAGUGGAAUUUCCGGUGUAGCGGUGAAAUGCGUAGAUAUCGGGAGGAACAUCAGUGGCGAAGGCGACUUCCUGGACCGAUACUGACGCUCAUGUGCGAAAGCGUGGGGAGCAAACAGG